CUCAACCUGCUAUGGGAGGCGACUUGGUUGCCGCCCGCGCCUUCCUCGUCAGACAGCGGCCGAGCCUCGCCCUGAACACUUGAUUCUGCUAUAGCUCCUGCCCUGCUCUCAUUCGGGCUAACUCAGAUACCGUGGGCUCGUUCUGGGUGCCUUACCUCUCCCCUCUCCACGCCCUGGACUCCCGUGACUGCCGUGAACCUGACGCUCCUGCGCCUCCCUCGUCUACCACAUCUACACCACUUCAAGGACGAAGCUGUGCUGCCUCGUCAUUGCCACUUAAAGGACGAGACGCCCCGAAGAGGAAGAAGUCGUGCAACAGGUCAUUGCUGAGUCCGGCGUGCUGAAGCCUUCUUGUCGGAGACUUCAGGUUGUGAGGCCUGUUUUGGGGUUUUCUUACUUUACUUAAAGUAAACUGGUCUAACCAUU